rnacentral:tRNA from 1 species
GGUCGUUUAGCUCAGCUGGGAGAGCACCUCCCUUACAAGGAGGGCGUAACUGGUUCGAGCCCAGUAACGACCACCA